AGGAUUUGAUUCAUCGUGCCCGCUCACGGAGCUAGCCAAAUAAUAAUUGACAUUAUUGCAUCCAGCCUUCCCAUCAUGUGCCACUCAUAUGCCGCAUUGAUUGUGAUGGUCACUGUAUUUUCUAUGGUAUGGUAUAAAAUAGUUAUGCAACGCUCUCUCGUGGUAUACCAUGGAAUAUGUAUCCCACUUGUCAUAUGUAUUUUCUCGGUAUACACACUCACCCAAAGGCUCAUGUGUAAACCAACAAAAUUCAAGUGAAUGGUGCGAUAUUCCUUGGUACACCACUAAAAAGCGUUGCAUAACUAGUAUAUACUUGAUUUCAUUUGCAGUCCCACGGCCAUUGUGUGUGUAACCCUGGCUUCAUAGGAGAGUCUUGUUCUCUUUCUACACUGACUGAUUCCAAAUCCAAUAACUGGUUCACAAUUUCAUCGACAUCAUCUGUUUUUAGCCCCAGAACAGCACAUUCAGUUGUUUAUGUUGAGAAAAGUGAUACAUUACUUGCAUUUGGAGGUUACUCUUUAAAUAAAGUGUUGGAUGAUUUGCUGCAGUUUGAUUUUACUACUAGUCUGUGGAGUGAGGUUCAUGCCGGAUCUCCUAAACCUGUUGGGCGUUUUUCUCAUACUGCAAACCUGUAUCUUGAUGCCAUGGUGGUGUUUGGCGGAGAAUUACAGGAUGGCAACCUCAGCAAUGGUCUUUGGCUCUAUAACUUAACUCUCAACAAAUGGACAGAGCUUGCUGUAAAUGAUAUUGUUAAACCACCUCCUCUUGCUGAACACAGCGCCACUGUGGUGGACGAUAUACUUUAUAUUUUUGGUGGUGAGUUUCAAGUUAUAUGUACCUUCAGAUUAUGAAUCUUGAAUGAUGAAUUUUUUUCAGAAGGAAUUAUUAAAAGCCAGAUCUACAUGUAUGCAUAUGUAAGGAGAAUGAGAGUUGACAAAAGUUUGGCUUUUUGAAUCGUACUUGCCAGUGAUCAAAAUCAAAGAUGCUGACUGAAUGCUCAGUUUAGGUUAAAAUAACAAUUUGCGGAUCCAGGGUUGUCAAACGUUUUGAAGUUGGCAGGUGUAUUGUUGGAGUAAGUGGCUGAUUUUGCCCAUUUUUAAAGAAUCAGACAAAAAGCCCAGUAGAGAUUGUUAGCUGAGAUUGUUAAGUUAUUUAUCAAACAUGAAAGAGUGUAGUGAUAAGUUAAUAAAGAUGGUGAAUUUUAAGCUCGGUAAUGAAAUGUG